rnacentral:rRNA from 1 species
CCUACGGGUGGCUGCAGUGAGGAAUAUUGGUCAAUGGGCGGGAGCCUGAACCAGCCAAGUCGCGUGAGGGAAGACGGUCCUACGGAUUGUAAACCUCUUUUGCCGGGGAGCAACGGUGUCCUUGCGAGGGCCCGAUGAGAGUACCCGGAGAAAAAGCAUCGGCUAACUCCGUGCCAGUAGCCGCGGUAAUACGGAGGAUGCGAGCGUUAUCCGGAUGUAUUGGGUUAACAGGGUGCGUAGGCGGGCUGUUAAGUCAGCGGUCAAAUGUCGGGGCUCAACCCCGGCCUGCCGUUGAGACUGGGGGCCUCGAGUGGGCGAGAAGUAGGCGGAAUGCGUGGUGUAGCGGUGAAAUGCAUAGAGAUCACGCAGAACUCCGAUGGCGAAGGCAGCAUAUCGGCGCCCGACUGACGCUGAGGCACGAAAGCGUGGGUAUCGAACAGGAUUAGAUACCCGUGUAGUC